GCGGAGGAAAAGAAACCAACAGGGAUUGCCCCAGUAACGGCGAGUGAAGCGGCAACAGCUCAAAUUUGAAAUCUGGUCCCCUUGCGGGGCCCGAGUUGUAAUUUGAAGAGGAUGCUUCUGGCAAGGUGCCUUCCGAGUUCCCUGGAACGGGACGCCGCAGAGGGUGAGAGCCCCGUACGGUAGGACGCCGAGCCUCUGUGAAGCUCCUUCGACGAGUCGAGUAGUUUGGGAAUGCUGCUCAAAAUGGGAGGUAAACCCCUUCUAAAGCUAAAUACUGGCCAGAGACCGAUAGCGCACAAGUAGAGUGAUCGAAAGAUGAAAAGCACUUUGAAAAGAGAGUUAAAAAGCACGUGAAAUUGUUGAAAGGGAAGCGCUUGCGACCAGACUCGCGCCCGUCGGAUCAGCCGUCGCUUGCGGCGGUGCACUCCGGCGGGCUCGGGCCAGCAUCAGUUCGCCUCGGGGGGAGAAAGGCGGCAGGAAUGUGGCUCUUCGGAGUGUUAUAGCCUGCCGUAUAAUACCCCCGGGCGGACUGAGGACCGCGCGU
rnacentral:sRNA from 1 species